GGAAUAUUGGACAAUGGGGGGAACCCUGAUCCAGCAAUGCCGCGUGUGUGAAGAAGGCCUGAGGGUUGUAAAGCACUUUCGACGGGGAGGAGUGUCAUUAGGUUAAGAGCUGAAUGACAGGACGUUACCCGAAUAAGAAGCACCGGCUAACUCCGUGCCAGCAGCCGCGGUAAUACGGGGGGUGCGAGCGUUAAUCGGAAUUACUGGGCGUAAAGGGUGCGUAGGUGGGCAGAUAAGUUACUUGUGAAAGACCUGGGCUUAACCUGGGGGUGUCAGGUAAUACUGUAUGUCUAGAGUAUAGGAGAGGGUAGUGGAAUUUCCGGAGUAGCGGUGAAAUGCGUAGAUAUCGGAAGGAACACCGGUGGCGAAGGCGGCUACCUGGCCUAAUACUGACACUGAGGCACGAAAGCGUGGGGAGCAAACAGGAUUAGAUACCCUGGUAGUCCACGCUGUAAACGAUGUCAACUAGCUGAUGGCUUGUAGAAGUUAGUAGCGAAGCAAACGCGAUAAGUUGACCGCCUGGGGAGUACGGUCGCAAGAUUAAAACUCAAAGGAAUUGACGG
rnacentral:rRNA from 1 species